GAGGGGCUGGUUUUCAGUACUAUUGUACAGUAAAAAAUAUUUUUGUCUUGGUUUGCGCUCACCACCUCCUUUCACUAUCUUUUUUUUCCUUUCCUAUGUUUCUGACACUAAUGUAGUUUUAAUUUAAGAUGAUGAAUGAUCCAAAAGAUACAACAUGAAUCACUAGAGGAAUAUAGACGACAGACUCUGCUUAGUUUAAUUCUUUGUUUAAACUUAAUUUUAUUGGUUUACCAUUGUCAAUUAUGAAUGUUAUUAUAAUAUGUCUACAGUCUUGCUCUGGGGAGGAGAAAGUUACUUCCAGAAGGAUAAAAACAAUAGUUGCAUACAGUACAUACAAGGAACAUUAAAGGUGGUAAGGAAACAAGUAUCUAAGAUAAACUCUUGGCUCCAUUAGGGGGACAUGAAUUCCAGCAAGCGAAUUGGCUCACGGAAAUAAGAAAAUGCAUGAAAAUAUCACAGAAUCCAUAGUUUACAUGACAUAAAAGGGGCCAAACACACAGGCAGCCUGUAGGUUGGCAUGGGCUUCAUGUACUUUUCCAUGCUUGAGGAAAAGUAAUAAUCUCUUUCUGCCAAGUCGGUCUCAGUGUUAGUACCAAGGAGAGUCUUCCCAUGUUUGUGGAGAUUGUUCAGGUCUGGCUCAUAUGCUGAAAGGGAUGUACUGGAACCUUUACAAAUAUGAAAGCCAAAAAAAAUCGGCAGAAAAUGCUGAAAUGUUUGUAUGAGAAUUUAGCCUGCUUAGGGAAGAAGCCUGGGCAAUUAUGCCAAGGAGGACAACAAAAUAUUGCACUACAGUGAUGCAGCAAUUUGCAGAUUAUUUGGGAAAAUAUCCUUCAAUAAAAUGUCUACUUGGGUGUAAUGGGCAAUGGAGACAAAUUUCGAUAUCCUUUACUGAAUCAAAUGUGAGGUUAACUGAGGAGAAAAUCAAUCCUUUUUUUAAAAAAGUAUGGUUAUAUGUGACCUGGUCAAAACUUGAUUCAGCUACACAAAAUUAUCUGUUGUGUUUUAUAAGACACUCACUUGGAAUUAGGUGAGUAAUAUCUGGUUUACAAAUAUGUAGGUUAAAGUCACUUAAAAAGAAACGCUUCCAAAAUAUGUAGCUGUGCUAGAACAUCUAUUUCUUUUAUAUAGAGAAAAUGAAGGGCCAAUGAGAAGAAAUCUGUACCCUAGAAUGCAUUUUCCUGUUCUUCCUAUAUUAUUUCUAGUUCUAGAAACAGUUCUAAUAACAAAGUGUAAAAUUAAAAUGCAAUGCAGUGCAGUUCUUAAGACUAUGGGCGUUUGAGUCAAAUAGAGCUAAAUACAAAUUCUAUUUUUGUCAUUUACCGAUUGAAUGAACCUAGGAAAGCUAUUGAACUAGCCAACCCUCGCAUUUCCAUUACGAUAAUGGGAAUAAUACAAACUUUAUAGUUUCAAGAGGAUAAAAUGAGAGAAUAUAUGUUAAAAUAACAAAGUGACUGGCAUUUAAUAAAUUCUGAAAGAUUAUUUCACUUACCUGAGUAUUCAGAAAUAUUUAUUGAACAUUUGUGAUAUGCUAGACAAUGGUUCUAGGGAUAUAACAGUCUUUGAUAUCAGGAAGUCUGAUGAAAAGAAAAUUAAUAAACACUGAAACAAAUAAUAUGUCAGAAGUGUGGUCUGGGAUAAAAAAUGCAGAGUGCUAAAUGAUAGUGAUUUAUGGGCUGGAGAAAUUAUUUUUUUAUUUUUAUUUUCAAUUUUCAUUUAUUCACUUUUUACAGUGGUUAUUUUAUGACUGGUUUAUUUCAUUUAGCAUAAAGUUUUCAAGGUUCAUCCCUGUUGUAGUAUAUGCCAGAAUUUUGUUCUUUUGUUUUUCAGCUUUACUGAAGUACUAUUAAAAAAUAAAAAUGGUAUAAACAGGUAUUCAAGGCAUACAGAUUGAUAUUUUGAUAUGAAAAUAUAUUGUGAAAUGAUUACCACAAUCAAGGUAAUUAACCUAUUCAUCACCUCAAAUACUUACCUUUCCAUUUUUUUUUUUUUUUUUUUUUUUUUUUUUUUGUGGUGAGAAUACUUAAGUUCUACUCUCUUGGCAAGUUUCAAGUAUGCAAUACAUUGUUAUUACCCGUAGUAACUAUGAGGUAAAGUAUACAUCAUAUAAAAAUUAUUCAUCUUGCAACUGCAAAUUUGUACCCUCUGACCAACCUCUCCCAUCUCACCCAUCUCCUGACCUCUGGUAACCACACUCUCUUUCUAUGAGUUCCAUUUUUUAGACUCUGCAUGUAGGUGAGAUCAUGCAGUAUUUUUCUAUUUCUGGCUUAUGUCACUGAGCAUAAUAUCUUCCAGUUUCAUCCAUAUUGUUGCAAUGGCAGGAUUUCCUUCUUUUUUAGAGUCUGAAAUAUUCCUCUGUGUGUGUGUGUGUAUCAAGUUCUUUCUCCAUUCAUCCAUUGAUUUGAUGGACAUUUAGAUUGUUUCUAUACUUAACUAUUGUGAAUAAUGCUGAAAUGAAUGUGGGGCUGCAGGUAUGUCUUCACAUUAGUUAUUUUAUUUCUAUUGGAUAUAUAGCCAGAAGUAGCUUGUUGAAUCAUAUGAUAAUUCUCUUUUUAAUUUUUUGAUAAAUCUCCAUACUGCCUUCCACUAUGGCUGCACCAAUUUACAUUCCCACCAGCAAUGUACAUGACUUUCCUGUUCUCUAAAUCCUCACCAACAUUUACUGUCUUUUGAAUUUUUUUAAUAAUAAGCAUCCUAAAAGCUGUGAAGUGAUAGUUCUUUGAGUUCUGAUUUGCAUUUCCAUAAUGAUUAGUGAUGUUGAACACCUUUUCAUGUACCUAUUGACUAUUUAUAUGUCUUCUUUGGAAAAAUAUCUAUUUAGGACCCAUGCUCCAUUUUAUAUUGUGUUAUUAUUAUUAUUUGCUAUUAAGUUAUAUAAGUUUCUUAUAUAUUUUGGAUAUUAAUCCUUUGCCUUAUUGAAUUUUCUAUUGCUUAUAAUAGAAUAUCUGAAACUGAGUAAUUUAUUUUAAAAAAUAAAUAUAUUUCUUACAGUUACAGAGAUGAAGAAGUUCAAGGCCAAGGGGCUGCAUCUGGCGAGAACCUUCUUGCUGGCAAGGACUCUCUGGAGUGCCAGGGUCAUGAAGGGCAUCAUGUGGAGAAGGCACAGAGCAUGCUAGCCCAGGUCUCUCUUCCUCUUCUAUUUUUUAAUUUUUUUUAAAUUUUUUUAAUGUUUUGAGGCAGGAUCUUGCUGUUUCACUCAGGCUGGGGUGUAGUGGUGCAAUCACAGAUCACUGAAGCCUUGACCUCCCAGGUUAAAGUGAUCCUUCUGCCUCAGCCUUCUGAGUAGUUGGGACUACAGGUGCACACUACCAUGCCUGGCUAAUCUUUGUGUUUUUGUAGAGAUGGGGUUUUUGCCAUGUUUCCCAGGCUGAUUUCAAACACCUGAGCUCAAGCAAUGCGCCUGCUUUGGCCUCUCAAAGUGCUGGGCUUACAGGUGUGAGCCGCCAUGCCUGGCCUAUUUUAUCUUCUUAUAAACCAAUCAGUCUCACUCUCAUGAAAAUCCAUUAAUCCAUUAACUGAAUAAUCUAUGAAUGAAUUAACUCAGUCAUGAGGGCAGAUCCUUCACGGUCCAUUCACCUCUUAAAGGCCCUACUUCUCAAUACUGCAAAAUUAGAGAUUAAAUUUCAACAUGAAUUUUGGAGGAAACAAAUAUUCAAACAAUAGCAUUUUGCACCUAGCCACAUAAAACUCAUGUCCUUCUCACAUACAGUUACACCCAUUCCAUCUCCAUAGUCCCAGAGUCUUAACUUGCAUCAGCACCAGUUCAAAAGUCCAAAGUCCAGAGUUUUAUCUGUGAGCCUGCAAAAUCAAUACAAGUUAUCUACUUCCAUGAUGAGAUGGUGGUACAGGAACAAGAUAUUCUUAUUCCAAAAGGGAAAAAUAAGUAAAACAGAAGGAAUAACAGACCUCUAGUAAGUCUAAAACCCAGAGACAUUAAAUCUUAAAAAAGCAAAUAAUCUCUUUUAACUCCAUGUGCUACCUCUUGGGCACAUUGAGAUAACAGUUGGGUCUUUAAGGCCUCAGGCAGCUCUGUCCCCAUGUCUUUGCUGGCUGUAGCCCACAUGGCUACUUGUACAGGUUAGGGUUGGAUACCUGAAGCUUUCUCAGGCAAGCAUUCCAUGCUGCUGGUGACUCCACAGUUCUGGAGUCUCCCUGGUCAUAUAGCUGCCAUGGCUCCACAGGCAUUGUCCUGGUAGGGACUCUACAACAGCCUCAACUCCACAUUUUUUCUGCUCAGCACUGCCCUAGAAGGGGCUAUUUGUGGUGACUCUGCUCUAGGACAAUGGUCCCUAGGCUUUUGAUGACAUCUUUUGAAAUUUGGGUGGAGGCUGUGAAGCCUCCACAGCUCUUGCUUUCUGCAAGCCUUUAGAAUUGGCACCAUGUGGAUGUUGCUAAUACAACUUGUACCUUAUGGAGUUGCAAGAACCACAGCUGGGGCCACUGGAGCCAGGGCUGGAGUGGACAUGGAGUGGUGCACUAGGGUGCAAUAAGUGGGGUGCACUAAGCAGAGUCCAAGGUGGCCCUGGGUAAUGAACCCCUAGAGAGCAUCCAGGGCCUUCCCCAUAAAACCAUUUGGCCUCCAAGAUCUCUGGGAUUGUGCUGGGAAGGGCAGCCUUGAAAAUCUCUAAAAUGCUUUUGGGACUCUUUCUACCACUGUCAAGGAAUAGCAGCUGACUCCCUUCUAUCUAUGCUAAUCUCUUUAGCAAAUUGUCUUUGGGCUACACCCAGGACAAAGUAUGUUUUACUGAACACACGUUUUCACUCUUUCUAUGGUGGAGCUGAGAAUUUUCCAAAUCUUUCUGCCCUGCUUCUCUUUUAAUUUUAAUUUCUGUCUUUAAAUUAUUCCUUUUCUCCAGAAUCUCAGCAUAAGUUGCCAAAAGUAACCCUGCAAAUUCUUCCAUAUUUUGCAUAGAAAUUUCUUCUGCCAGAUAUCCUAGUUCAUCACUCUCAAGUUUAAUCUUUCACAAAGCCCUCAGGCAUGGACAUAAUUCAGCCAAAUUCUUUGCCAAUUUAUGACAAGAACGGCUUUUUCUUUUUUCAGUUCCCAAUACCUUGUUCAUCAGUUCCAACUGAAAUUGCAGCAGAAUAGCCUUUAAUCUGCAUAUGCUUAUCAGCAUCCUGGUCACAACAACUUAAUCAAUCUCUAAUGAGUUCCACACCUUCCCUAGUCAUCUUGUCUUCUAAGCCCUCACAAGAAUCUAGGCUUUUUAUAGUCUGCCCCCCUAACUUCUUCCAGCCUCUCCCCAUUACCCAGUUCCAAAGCCACUUCUGCAUUUUCUGGUAUUUAUUAUCAGCAAUAUGCCAUUUUUUGGUACCAAUUUUCUGUCUUAAUCCAUUUUCUGUUACUUAUAAAAAAAAUACCUGAAAGUAGCUAUCUUACAAAGAGAAAAAGUAUAUUUCUUUCAUUUAUGGAGGCUGAGAAUACCAAGAUCAAAGAAUGACAGGUUAGAUCUCACUAAGGCAGGCCUCCAUAACUACUGUUUCAGUACUGACUGAGUGGUUAAGUUAAAUAUUAAAAGCUAAAAAAAGCCAGUGCCUUUAUUCAAAGACUGGAAGGUAACAAAAGGCCACCAAGAGUUUCUCCCUAGGCCUUUCCUGGGCCUUAAAGCAUGAUAAAAUAAUGGAGGGAUUCUUAAUAAGACCCAUUUAAGAUUAAACAAGUUUUAUUCGGAGGUCUGAAGAAACUCCCCAGGCCUCCACAAACAAGUUUAUUGGGGGUCUGAAGGAACUCUCCAAACCUCCCUGAUUUAGCAGAAGAUAAGAUAAGGGUAAUCACCCGAGCACCUGGACCAAUUUAGAUUAAGUAAAUUUACUGAGGCUCCAGAAGAAGGUCUUUAGGACUCAGACCUUAAUUAUAGAUUAAAAGAAGUUAAUCACUUAUGUCUUUAGAUGAAUGCACACUUACAUGUAAACAUAUAGCUUAGAAGGUAUAUAAACUCUGGAAAACUGUAAUUUUGAGUUGGUCUGGCAGUAAUUUCCAGGCCUUCUCCCUGUAACCAGUUGCAGAAAUAAAAACUCUCUUCCUACCCAGUUCAUUUGCAUCUUGUUAUUGGGCACGAGAAAUAGCAGCCCAAUCCUCAGUUUGGUCAGGAACAAAAGGGCUUCAUCUUUUGAGGGCCUUUGUGCUGGCAGGACUCUCCAUGGAGUCCUGAGGCAGUUCAGAAUGCAAAUGCAAUAGAUUCAUUGCCAGAUGUGCACAGCAAGUCAAUAUGCCAAGACACCAAUUUGCAGCAGGGAAAAAGUAUUAAUCAUGGGGCUGCUGAAUGAGCAGAUGAGAGAAACUUCAAAUUUUGGAGGGGGCCAAAGUGUAGAGAUUAUCAGUUGGUCAAUGAGUGCAGGGUGAAGUUAUGGGCUAUGCAUGCUAGCUUGGGUCUUUCUUCCUUUUCUUUAAAACCACUAGUUCUACUUCAGUGAUAACCCAUUAAUCAUUAACUCAGUAAUCCAUUAAUCUGUAAAUGGGUCCCAGUCACCUCUUAAAGGCCCCACUUCUCACUACUGCCACAUUGGAAAUUAAAUUUCAAAACAUGAGUUUUGAAGGGGACAGAUACUCAAAGGAUAGCAUCAUUAUUUGAUAUAUGGUUUGCAACUAUUUUUUUCCCAUUAUAUAGGUCACCUUUAUAUUUUGUUGAUUAUUUUGUUUGCUGUAAAGAGACUUAAUUUUGAUGUAGUCCCACUCGUUUUGUUUGUUUGCUUGCCUUUUAUGCAUGCGCUUUCAAUAUCAUAUCCAAAAAUCAUUGCCAAGACCAAGACCCUUGUAAAGGAGAUUCUCCAUGAUUUAUUCUAGGAGUUUUGUAAUUUUAGAUCUUACAUUUAAAUUAUUAAUGCAUUUUAAGUCGAAUAUUGUAUAAGGUGAAAGCUAAAAAUCCAACCUCAUUUUGUCACCAGUCAAUAUACAGUUUUCCCAAUUUGAUAUACAGUUUUCCCAACACCAUUUAUUCUGUGUAUUCUUGGCACCUUUGUCAAAGAUUUGAUCAUGUAUAUGUGGGUUUACUUCUGGGCUUUUUACUCUGUUCCAUUGGGAUGUGUUUUUUUAUGCUAAUACCAAAUUAUUUUGACUAGGGCUUUGUAAUAUUAAUUUAGAAUCAGGAAAUAUGAUGGAUCCAUCUUUGAUUUUCCUACUCAAGCUUACUUUAGCUAUUCAGGGUGUUUUGUGGUUCCAUAUGGAUUUUAUAAUUGAUUUUUCUAUUACUGUAAAAAUGUCAUUGGAAUAUUUUCUUUUUUUUUGUGAUGGAGUCUCGCUCUGUUGCCCAGGCUGGAGUGCAGUGGCAUGAUCUCGGCUCACUGCAAACUCCGCCUCCUGGGUUCAUGCCAUUCUCCUGCCUUAGCCUCCCGAGUAGCUGGGACUACAGGCUCCCACCACCAUGCCCGGCUAAUUUUUUUUAUUUUUGGUAGAGACAGGUUUCAUGCGCGUUUGUGUGAAGAGACCACCAAACAGGGUUUGUGUGAGCAACAUGGCUGUUUAUUUCACCUGGGUGCAGGCGGGCUGAGUCUGAAAAGAGAGUCAGCGAAGGGAGAUAGGGGUGGGGCCGUUUUUUAGGAUUUGGGAAGGUAAUGGAAAAUUACAGUCAAAGGGGGUUGUUCUCUGGUGGGCAGGGUUGGGGGUCACAAGGUGCUCAGUGGGGGAGCUUCUGAGCCAGGAGAAGGAAAUUCACAGGGUUAAUCACUCAGUUAAGGUGGGGCAGGAACAAAUCACAAUGGUGGAAUGUCAUCAGUUAAGGCGGGGCAGGGCCUUUUCACUUCUUUUGUGAUUCUUCAGUUACUUCAGGCCAUCUGGGCAUAUAUGUGCAAGUCACAGGAGAUGCGAUGGCUUGGCUUGGGCUCAGAGGCCUGACAAUCCUGCCUUCUUAUAUUAAUAAGAAAAAUAAAACAGUGUUGAAGUCUUGGGGUGGUGAAAAUUUUGGGGGGGUGAUAUGGAGAGAGAAUGGACGAUGUUUCUCAGGGCUGCUUCAAGCGGGAUUAGGGGCGGCGUGGGAACCUAGAGUGGGAGAGAUUAAGCUGAAGGAAGAUUUUGUGGUAAGGGGUGAUAUUGUGGGGUUGUUAGAAGAAACAUUUGUCAUUUAGAAUGAUUGGUGAUGGCCUGGAUACGGUUUUGUAUGAAUUGAAAAACUAAAUGGAAUAAGAGAAGGAGAAAAACAGGUAUAAAAGGUCUAAGAAUUGGGAGGACCUAGGACAUCUGAUUAGAGAGUGCCUAAGGAGAUUCAGCAUAGUCCUGCCAGCCAAGAUUAUUUAUUUACUUCAAGAGUUAAGAGUGGCGGUUUGGGGAUAGCACGAGGAGAUAUCAGCUGUGAUGGCUUGGAGAAACAGUGUAAACCGGCAGUGUAAACAAGAGCAGGGCAUGUAUGAGUAGUUGAGAACGGAGAAUAGGAGUAUGACUAGACAGAAGAUAGUAGGGAUGACAAGUUUUUUUUGGGGCACACUCUAAGUUGGUCCGGUGUUUGGAAUGAGACUGGGGCCUAAUAAAAAGGAGCAUCUAUACAGGAGCCCAAAUGGGCUGUACCUUGUAGCAUUCUGAGGACGGGUCUGACUUCUGAGAAGGGAAAGUGGUAAAAGUAUUGUCCAGUUCUUUUUAAGUUGGUGGCUGAGCUUGGUGAGGUGUGUUUUUGAAAGACCUUUAGUCCGUUCUACUUUUCUUGAAGACAGACGACUAUAAGGGAUAUAAAGGUUUCACUGAAUACUAAGAGCCUGAAAAACUGCUUGGCUGAUUUGACUAAUAAAGGUUGGUCUGUUAUCAGACUGUAUAGAGGUGGGAAGGCUAAACUGAGGGAUUAUGUCUGACAGAAGGGAAGAAAUGACUGCAGUGGCCUUCUCAGACCCUGUAGGAAAGGCCUCUACCUAUCUAGUGAAAGUGUCUACUUAGACUAAGAGGUAUUUUAGUUUUUGUGACUCAGGGCAUGUUGAGUAAAGCUAAUUUGCCAGUUCCGGGGGCGGGGGCAGGGGGCAAAUCCUCAAGUUUGAUGUGUAGGGAAGGGAGGGGUCCUGAAUAAUCCUUGAGGAGUAGUAGAAUAGCAGAUAGAAUAGCAGAUGGAACACUGAGAAAUUAUUUCCUUGAGGAUAGAUUUCUACAAUGGAAAGGAAAUGAGAGGUUCUAAGAGGCGGGCUAGUGGCUUGUACUAUAGCAUAGCCUGCCUUUGCUGGUGUGUGGCGAUUAGGCCUGGUGGAACUGCCAUCAAUAAAUCAAGCGUGAUCAGGGUGAGGAACAGGAAAGAAGGAAAUAUGGGGAAAUGUGGUGAAUGUCAGGUGGAUCAGAGACAUACAGUCAUGGGGGUCAGGUGUGGUAUCAGGAAUAAUGUGGGAGGCCAGAUUGAAGUCUGGGCCAGGAACAAUGGUAAUUGUGGGACUUAACAAAGAGUGAGUACAGCUGAAGGAGCCGGGGAGCAGAAAGUAUAUGCAUCAGGUAUGAGGAAGAAAAUAGAUUUUGGAAGUUAUGAGAAAUGUAGAGAGUAAGUUGAGCAUAGUUUAUGAUUUUUAGGGCCUCUAAAAGUAUUAGGGUGGCAGCAGCCGCUGCACGGAGACAUGAGGGCUAGGCUAAAACAGUAAGGUCAAGUUGUUUGGACAGAAAGGCUACAGGGUGCGGUCCUGGCUCUUGUGUAAGAAUUCUGACCACACUAACCAUGCCUAGGAAGGAAAGGAGUUGUUGUUUUGUAAGGGAUUGAGGUUGGGGAGAUUAAUUGGACACGAUCAGCAGGGAGAGCACCUGUGUUUUUAUGAGAAUUAUGCUGAGAUAGGUAACAGAUGAGGGUGAAAUUUGGGCUUGACUGAAGUAAUGGGGGCUGUCUGUGAAGCCUUGCGGCAGUACAGCCCAGGUAAUUUGCUGAGCCUAAUGGGUGUUAGGGUCAGUCCAGCUGAAAGCGAAGAGAGGCUGGGAUGAUGGGUGCAAAGGAAUAGUAAAGAAAACAUGUUUGAGAUCCAGAACAGAAUAAUGGAUUGUGGAGGGAGGUAUUGAGGAUAGGAGAGUAUAUGGGUUUGGCACCAUAGGGUGGAUAGGCAAAACAAUUUGGUUGAUAAGGCAUAGAUCCCGAACUAACUUGGAAGGCUUGUCUGGUUUUAGGACAGGUAUAAUGGGGGAAUUGUAAGGAGAGUUUAUAGGCUUUAAAAGGCCAUGCUGUAGCACGCAAGUGAUAACAGGCUUUAAUCCUUUCAAAGCAUGGUGUGGGAUGAGAUAUUGGCAUUGAGCGGGGUAAGGGUGAUUAGGUUUUAAUGAGAUAGUAAGGGGUGCAUGAUCAGUUACCAAGGAGGGAGUAGAGGUAUCUUAUUCCUGUGGGUUAAGGUGGGGGAAUACAAGAGGAGGACGCAAAGGAGGCUUUGGAUUGGGAAGAAGGGCAGCAAUGAGAUGUAGCUGUAAUCCAGGACUAGUCAGGGAAGCAGAUAAUUUAGUUAAAGUGUCUCGGCCUAAUAAGGGAACUGAGCAGGUGGGGAUAACUAAAAGAGUGCUUAGAAGAGUAUUGUCUCAGUUGGCACCAGAGUUGGGGAGUUUUAAGAGGUUUAGAAGCCUGGCCGUCAAUACCUACAACAGUUACGGAGGCAAGGGAAACAGGCCCUUGAAAAGAAGGUAAUGUGGAGUGGGUAGGCUCCAUAUUGAUUAAGGGGACGGACUUACCUUCCACUGUGAGAGUUACUCGAAGCUCAGCGUCUGUGAUGAUCUAUGGGGCUUUCGAGGUGAUCGGGCAGCGUCAGUCUUCAGCUGCUAAGCCGAGAAGGAGUCAGAGAGCCUUGGGCCAGAAUUCCAGGGGCUCUGGGAGUGCCUGCCAGGUGAGUUGAACAGUCCGAUUUCCAGUGGGGUCCCGCACAGAUGGACACGGCUUAGGAGGAAUCCUGGGCUGCAGGCAUUCCUUGGCCUGGUGGUCAGAUUUCUGGCACUUGUAGCAAGCUCCUGUGGGAGGAGGUUCUGGAGGAACUCCUGGCUGCUGUGGUUCAGGCGUUUGGAAGUUCUUGUGUGCUGGAGAUGUGGCUGGGGUUUGUCUCACAGUGGAGGCAAGGAAUUGCAACUUUUUUUUUAUUAUUGUACGCCUUGAAGGCUGGAGGGCAAUGGCGUGGUUUUGCUCACUGCAACCUCCGCCUUCCAGGUUCAAGGAUUCUUCUGCAUCAGCCUUGCAAUUAGCUAGGAAUACAGGUGCUGUAGUGACUGAAGACAUCCUUAAUGAAUAAUAGAGUUUUGCUUUUGAAAAUCAGCAUUUGUCUACUUCCUCAGUGUACAGAAAGUGAUGGCCCAAUUAUUGAAAAAUUUGAGUUUCAUUUCAUUGUGAUUGGAAGAGACACACUCCAUCCACUCUCUAUGAAAAGCAUCCGUGUACCUUCUUCCUCUUGGUCACUAGACAAGAGCCUGGAACUCACUGAACUGUGGGAGUGAAAGAGCUGUAACUCUCCUGCUCUCUGAUCUAUGGACAGGGGGACUAAAAGAGCUAUAACACUCCUGCCUUGCAAACUACAGUAGUAAAAAAGAAACACAAAAGUACCAUCAAAAGUUUCUGGUGAAAAUUGAAUUACCAAAAACAUUGAAAGUGCUUAAAACAGUACCUGCAACAUAGUAAGAGCUCAACAAACGUUAUUCAUUUAUGUUCAUAAUUUGGAUUGAUAAAUUACCCUACUGAAAAAUAAAUACUUUCAGAUUGAAUUUAAAAGCAAUAAUAAAAUCUCUUGAUGCUUAAAAGAGAUGAACAAGACAGCAAAUAAACUUCAAUGCUGAAAAUAAGAACAAUAUACAAAUUUUUAUCAAGGAAAUCUCAGGGACCCUGUAAACAGUCGUUCUGUUCAUAUUUGUUGUUGUUUCUUUAGAGGAGGGCAUCUAGGCAAUAAGAAAACUGGAAUGUGAAAUCUAUCUACUUUUCUGUUUCCAAAGCUCAGAAUUAUGUUAAUUUUACUGAACCAACUAACAGGAGGGGUGACUUUUUGUCAUUUAUAGAAAAGCAUUAUAGAUAAUAUUCAGGGGAUUCACUAAAAUAACAAGACACUCUGUGCAAUUGCCUAUUGGUAUUUGAGUUCCAGUGUAAAACCUAAAAUAAUUUGUUUAAAGUUAAAACAGUAUAACAACAUGACUUUAAAAGUUAUUACUUCACAUUCCAAGAUCAGAGAUCCUACCAUCUCUGGGGCCUGCCAAAAGUCGAUGAUACAGUCAUUUCAGCAGAAUCAUUCACUUGAUUACAUAAAGGGAAGAUUGGGAAAGAAAAGAUGGUGACUUUUGAGGAGAGUGCAGAGUGCCUAAAGGAAGAUCAUUGUGCUUCUCUAUCUGCUGUGAUAAAGGGGAGAGAGGGACACUUCUCUCUAGCAAAAGAUCUGCUUCUUCUGGACUUUGGACACAAGCUUAGGAAAGAAUUGGCAGAGCUGAUAGAGAGUGUCAUUAGCAGAAGCAUGCAUUUCCACCAUGUGGUUUGAAAAGUACCUAUGAAAUUUGCUGGGUUUGAUGGACGCCACUGAGGGGAACCUGACUUGAAGCAUCUUACUACUGCCCCUCCUGGAACCACUCUGUGCAUAGGAAUACUCAACUGAUGACAAUGAGUGAUUUAUGACACAACUGAAAAGAGAAGGAAGAAGCCGAGCCUAUGCUGGGAAUUCUAUGCCCAGAGUCUGCAUAGUGUACAGCUUUAUAAAACCCCUAAAUGUGUCUGACACAGAGUUUUCAUUUGGACUUGCAGCCUUAGGAAGGAGCAACAGCCUGCAGAAAUUCUUGUGAUAUUUUCAACGUACUUUAAGUGAGACACUGAAAAUUUGCUACUCUCCCAAUAAUAUUACGAAUUAUGAAGUCAUGACUCAUCUUUUCCAUUAUAUAGCUUUAUGAAAUUCACUUAAAGAUGAUUAUUUAAAAGCGUGUUUAGUAGGUAAGAAUAUACUAAGAAGAUAUUAUUAAAUGGUUUAAUUAUAUCAUGAAUCCUUUUAUAGUUUAGGAAUGUUAUUUUUAAUUAGCAAUUCUAGACAUGACUGGAUGGUGAGAACCAAGAUCAUAAUGCCAGCUGUGUUUGGCUAGCAUUAGAUGUGAUCUUCUGUUGAUCUUGGUUUGAGCCUUAAUCUUAUCCUCCUUUGUUGCUAUUGGAUGGUAAAAGCACCAUAAUGUUGAUCGUGCCAAAAAGGAAUAUUUAAACACUAACACUGCUCAAAGGUCUGAGAACUUAAGCUAACAAAAUUAUGGUUCUUUUUUUCCUCUCUUUCUGGCAUUUGGUUAAAUAGCUUCUAAUUACCCAAUUUGGGAGAAGUUCUGAAACCAUGUCCCAAAGAGUUAAAGCAACCAGUGACUAACAGAAAUUCUUGAGUUUGCAGAAUGGUGGAUAAGAAAGGAAACAACUUGCUAAAACACUGAAACUCCCUCCACUUAUGAGAUAAAAGAACUGGCUGAAAUCAGUUUGGUCAACUGGAGUUUGUGCGGAAGUAGCUUGCUGACAUCAUAGCCUGAAUUUUCAUUGCAUGUCUCAUACCAACUCCCUCCAGAAUCUGCACAUGCAAAUGAGUUAGCAUAAAAAAGGUAACUGUGCAUGCCCAAGGACUUUCCAGACCUCUCCUUUCCUUCCACCAAUAAAACCUGAUAAUCUCAGAAUCCAACCCCUGAAUCUUUUCUAAUGAAAAUAUAGUCUUGAAGCCAGCACAGGGAGACAGCUUGGAGCUUGACUCCUGUCUCCUCGGGAGUGGACUUUCAAUAUAAAGCUUUUCUGUCCUCAAAAACCUGGUAUAGUAUUGGCUUCUAGCGUAUUCAGCAGCAAGCCCCUUUUGCUUGAUAAAGUUCCAGGAUCCUUCCUGCCAGAGGUUUUGCAUGUCCCUCUUUUUCCAUUGCUUCUCUUGGCCCCUAACAUCUGUUCAUCUCAUUAACUCUUACUCUGUUUUUCAAUUCAAAAACAAUAAUAGCUUUAAAGAAACAUUCCUAACCUUCUCAAAUGCAUUCGUUUUUCUAAUGUAUACUUUAAUAGAACAAUGUACUUCUUCCUCUCAUCUCUCUCACAACAUAAAUUUACCCUAGUGUGAUUUGGUGAUAAAUAUCUGUCACUAUACUAGAUUGUAUAUUCAAGUCAUGUGGAGAAUGUGUCUGUUUUCGUUCAUGAUGGUGUCUACAUUAAAUAAUCCAAUGUGACAAGAAAUAUUUGUUCAAUGAAUGAGCUCCCUGAUGAAUGGAUAAAAUGAUGCUCUGAUAUGUAUGAAUGUUGAUAUUAGACACACUUAUCAAUUAUAUGUACUGUAAAUAGCAUGUAGUAGCAUUUCAAUGAGUAUUUGCUGAUUGACAGAUUUGACUAUCAAUCCCUGCUCUGAUUUCCUUUUGGGAUUUGAUUAUAUUCUUUGUACCCCUUCCAGCUUUAUUAAAGUAUAAUUGACAAAUAAGAU
rnacentral:lncRNA from 1 species